CCCGGGACAGUGCCGGGAGGCGGGCAGAGCAGCGGGGGUGGAAGGCCGCCGUUCAGCCCGCCCGCCCGUCCCACACGCCGGAACGCGACUCCCAGAUAGACCCCGGCAGAAGCGGGAGGUCGCACCGCGAGCUAUGCAAACUCUGAACGCGCCACGUGCCAGACAUGAAGCUAAGAGCCGUUGGAUAGGGACGAAUUAGAGGCGGUUCCUCGAUCGCGCCAAAGCAUGUGCACAUAGACACAGACAACCAGUAUGCCUAGAAGAUGGUGAGGAGAGGUACAAAUAAAGUGCUAGGGGAGAUCAGGAAAGAUUGUUUCCAGUGGGGAAUUUAGCAAAGACUUCUUGGAGUAGGUGACAUUAUUUAAGCUGGAAUUGAAAUGAGGGUAAAAUUUGGACAAGAAACACUGUUGGUUGCGGGUGGGGGAUGGAGUAAUGAAGAUAGCAAAGGCUUUUGAAGUUGCAAUGUCUGUUACUAGGUUGAGAUGCAUAAAACUGCUGAUGUUUUACUGGUUUUGACCUACAAUAACAUCAGUUUCUGAUGGUUCAACAUAAUACUUAGCAGAUACGAUGUGGAGCUGAGAAAACACAGGUUGUAGAGAGAAAACAGGACAGGACAAGUUCAAUACCUGUCAAUAUCUGGUAAAAUCAACAUUAAUUUUACCUUGUAAUCAUGUGUUGAUAGAGAUUUUCUGGCGAUGGCAUUUUCUACUUUCUCAAAAGGGGACUCAUAUUAUAAAGUUUGUUGUCCAAAGACUAGUCAAAGACUUUGAGCUUUACAAUCAGACUGAAUUGACAAGUCACAGGAAGGCAGGAUGGUCCCCCAUUCUGAAAUAUUUGAGUUUAGAUUCCAACUCCACCACUCUCUGAGCCUCACUUUGUCUCCUGAAACAUGGUGAUAAUAAUACUUACCUUCCUCCCAAGGUGGUUGAGACAAUUAAAUGAGAUGGUGCUCUGCAUUGCUUAGCACAAUACCCAGCCUUGGGAAGCACCAGGAGCUGUUUGCAGGGUUAUGAUUUAUGUCAAAGCACAAUAAGCACCAGAUAGUGACACCAUGCCCACAGUCGCAAAGGGAGUUCCAUCUUGCUGAGAGGCAGAGCUUGUUUAGAUGGAGGUGGAAGGUCUGUGACCUAUUUUAGUCAUAGGUAGAAGAGGGGGAAAGAAGAGACAAGAAAAUAUGUGAUGUUUCAGUUUCUCAGGUCAAGAAUGACAGGCAUAACAGGAUGCUCCGCAUGGUCCUAUUAUACCAUCAGUUGCUUAGCAAACCUAGUAAGGAAUUUCAUGUUCUCAGGCCUCCCCUGGCAGGUCUGCCUGGCUCAGAGGUGGAUUUCUUUUUUAGCAAAAGGGUUUUUGAAAAGUACCAAGUCAACCAUCCUGGAGUGGUUCCCAGGAAAACAGUGUGGAUAUCGGCAAGGGCAGGCUUGCUUGGGCACCAGAGGCUCAGGAGAAACUGGCACUCAGCUUUCCAGGAAAAAGAAGCUUAGCCACUCUCGGGAAAAUCUAAAACCAGAGAGGUGAGCUGAAGUGCACGUCUGAAUCAGAAAGCCCAGGGUCAAGACAGACACCUGGGCCAGACUAAUGUUGGCUGUGCAGGGCACGGGUGGCUCACCCAUCUUGGUCCCCAGCCUCCCUCUUCAUUCCAAAGCGCUCUCCUGCUGGGUUGGGGAAAUGUCCUGCCACCAGCAGAAAGACUAGCUUGUGCAUUUGAAAAUAAUUGUUGAUUAGGGUUUUUAAAUGACACUUAGAAUUCUAAAGCAAAAGAGGAUUUGUUAUGGGGCACUACUGAGUAAGAAACAGUAUCAGGGAACAUUCUCUGGCAGCUCCCCAGCCCCCAAUUGGUAGUGGUCUUUGGUGAACAAGGGACAGAGUGUGCAGGGCCAGCUGUAUUUCUUGCAGGUUCCUGAGGCCAACUCAGCUGGCAUCUUCCCAUUUUUCUCUUCAUGUCACAUGCCCCUUUCCCCAGUGAGAACUGGUGGUGCUGAGGGCAGAAGUGAGUGUUAAGCAUCGGGGACAGCAUUGUCUUUGGGCAACAGAGAGCCUUGUAAAAGCCCCAAGAGAAGUUCUUCUCUCUGCAGCCCUAAAAAUUUUUCCUGCAGUCUAAAUUUAUCAUUCAACUCGCCACUUCCAGUCCUGCUGACAAGUCGGAUAGUGGCUCUGGCCAGGAGCAAUGGCAGAGACAGCAGCAGGGCUUUUGACAAUCUUACCAGACCACAAGAAGAAGAAAAAGAACCACCUCAAACUGCUGGGCUUGCAAAGUCUGGGUGAUUGAACAGUAGAUUCUGCAUCGGGAUACGAGUUGUAAAAGUCCCAGGAGAUUCAAAUAGGCGAGCUGCUUUUUUAUAAGUGAACUUUGUUACUUCAAUAAGACUUUUAAGUUCACAUCUCUCA